rnacentral:rRNA from 1 species
AACGAACGCUGGCGGCAUGCCUAACACAUGCAAGUCGAACGAAGGCUUCGGCCUUAGUGGCGCACGGGUGCGUAACGCGUGGGAAUCUGCCCUUGGGUUCGGAAUAACUCAGAGAAAUUUGAGCUAAUACCGGAUGAUGACGUAAGUCCAAAGAUUUAUCGCCCAAGGAUGAGCCCGCGUAAGAUUAGCUAGUUGGUGGGGUAAAGGCCUACCAAGGCGACGAUCUUUAGCUGGUCUGAGAGGAUGAUCAGCCACACUGGGACUGAGACACGGCCCAGACUCCUACGGGAGGCAGCAGUGGGGAAUAUUGGACAAUGGGCGGAAAGACCUGAUCCAGCAAUAGCCGCCGUGAGUGAUGAAGGCCUUAGGG